GGAAGAAGAAGAAAGCUCCUUAAGGAUUCCUUACCUUGAUUAGCCUUGCUUCCCGCGGUGGCCCCUGAAAACAAAAUGACACUGUCAAAAUCAUGGAAUCAAAACAGGAAGGGAAAGAUGAUGAUCAGCUCCAGAGAAAUCAUGGGUUAUUGGAAAUAUGGAGUAAAGCACCUGUCAUGGAUCAUUGGAGGACAUGGACGAAGGCGGUCAGUCAAUCUCAAUCAUCCUUUGUUCCUUUGAAGAUUUGUGUGCUAUAGCUAGGCGAGGAGCAUCAAGAACACAACAUCUCCUUUCAAGCGAUUGCCACCUGGUACACCACUUGAAUAGAAGGCAUCUGGAAUUCAUCCAAAUAACUCGCACUUCACAUUUACCUCCAACAACACAGAAGAUACAAUGACUGCAGCACAAGGAAGCAGUCAUUGUUACCCAUAGGGCUGCCUUCAGGCA